rnacentral:rRNA from 1 species
UACGAAGGGGGCUAGCGUUGCUCGGAAUCACUGGGCGUAAAGCGCACGUAGGCGGAUUGCUAAGUCAGGGGUGAAAUCCUGGAGCUCAACUCCAGAACUGCCUUUGAUACUGGGAAGCUCGAGUCCGGGAGAGGUGAGUGGAACUCCGAGUGUAGAGGUGAAAUUCGUAGAUAUUCGGAAGAACACCAGUGGCGAAGGCGGCUCACUGGCCCGGUACUGACGCUGAGGUGCGAAAGCGUGGGGAGCAAACAGG